rnacentral:rRNA from 1 species
GGCCUAUUGAAUAUAAUUUUAGGUCGAUCUGCCCAAUGAUUUUAAAUUUAAUGGCUGCGGUAUUUUGACUGUACAAAGGUAGCAUAAUCAAUUGUUUUUUAAUUGGAAACUGGAAUGAAAGAAUUAAUGAGAUAUAUACUGUCUCAUAUAUAAUAAAUGAAUUUAAAUUUUUAGUUAAAAUGCUUAAAUUAUUUUAUGGGACGAUAAGACCCUAUAGAAUUUUAUAUUAAUAUAAAUAGUUAUGUUUAUAAAAUUUUUAUAUUAAUAUUUAGUUGGGAGGAUUAGUAAAUUUAAGAAACUUUACUUUAAAUUUAAACUUUGAUUUAAGAAUUUUUUUUUGAUCUUGUAUUAUAAAAAUAAGAGUAAAUUACCUUAGGGAUAACAGCGUAAUAUCUUUUUAAAGGUCAUAUUAAUAAAGAUGAUUGCGACCUCGAUGUUGAAUUAAGAUAAAUUUUAGAUGGAGAAGUCUAAAAAUUAAGUCUGUUCGACUUUUAGAAUCUUACAUGAUUUGAGUUCAAAUCGACGUGAGU